GACGAACGCUGGCGGCGUGCUUAACACAUGCAAGUCGAACGGAAAGGCCCUGCUUUUGUGGGGUGCUCGAGUGGCGAACGGGUGAGUAACACGUGAGUAACCUGCCCUUGACUUUGGGAUAACUUCAGGAAACUGGGGCUAAUACCGGAUAGGAGCUCCUGCUGCAUGGUGGGGGUUGGAAAGUUUCGGCGGUUGGGGAUGGACUCGCGGCUUAUCAGCUUGUUGGUGGGGUAGUGGCUUACCAAGGCUUUGACGGGUAGCCGGCCUGAGAGGGUGACCGGCCACAUUGGGACUGAGAUACGGCCCAGACGCCUACGGGAGGCAGCAGUGGGGAAUAUUGCACAAUGGGCGGAAGCCUGAUGCAGCAACGCCGCGUGCGGGAUGACGGCCUUCGGGUUGUAAACCGCUUUCGCCUGUGACGAAGCGUGAGUGACGGUAAUGGGUAAAGAAGCACCAGCUAACUACG
rnacentral:rRNA from 1 species